rnacentral:lncRNA from 1 species
AUGUGUUUCAGCUCUCCCCUUCAGGAUCUGCCUGUGGGUCAUGCCCUGCAAGUCCCCUACACAUUGCUCUGCAGUUAUCUGCUGCUCUGUAAGAGUGGAAUGGUAACUUCCAGUUUUCUUGUUAAGGAAAAGACAAAGUUUACCAUCACUUUCCAAACACAGAAGCGUUGUCUUGGCAGCAAUUGGGAAUACAGCUUUCUUUUUGCAGCAUGUGAUCAUCCAAAGAAAACAACGCAGAAAUCAGACACACAAAAGGUACACUGCUACUGUCUUCCUUGUCUUCGUCCCUGUAGUAUAAGUGACCAUAAGGAAGCAAAAGAACAAUCACCAAUCCCUUUCCCUGGGAAUUACAGAAUGGGGCGAAUGUUGCUAGGAAACACUCGCUAGUUUGCACUUCACUGUGGAGGACUCUACACAUAUACAGAGCACGAGAAGUCGGUGCAGAGAAAGAGAAACAAAAGCACUGGGAAAAUCAAUAACGGUAUUUUCCAGCUUCAUGUUUUCCUUAAGUAUUGGAAGGAGCAUGCAAGAGAGUUUUCUGGCCUGGAUGCACUGGUGACAGUUUUAAUUAGGCUCUAUAUUUCUGCGUAUUAAGGCACUAUGGAAAGUAAAAAAGUGUUGUGUGGAGCAGGUCUUUCUUUUUUUCUUUCUUUUUUAAGCAAAUGUCUUAUUUGAUGUUAUGUUAUCAUUUGCUCCUGAAGCGCCAUUACUUUUCAUCACUUCUCUUUGUAUCUCAGCUGUGGCAGAAAUUUUUGACUUUUAAAAGCUUCAUGGUGUCCUUUAUGAGACAAUUAACACUCUCAAUUGCCAUUGAGAAUGGCACUACAGUGCACCAGAAGCAGAAGUUUUGAGAAGUGUGUUUUUUGACUUCCCCAUCCGAUUGGUUCUUGGUCUCCAGUUUGCUGACAUAUGUGCCAGAGGUAAUUUGUCAAGUGUUUGAGAGCAUUUUUACUAGUUGAAAGAACAUAGCUGCUUGGGAAAACAGGCCUUCAGGCAAGGGGCUGUGCCAAAAUGAGAUUUGGGUUUUGAGGAUGGAAUGAAAAAUCUGUUGAACUCUUUGUGCAUCAAAUUGCUGGACACGCACCUUCGCUCUGGGCCUCCUUCCAGAAAUGGGGCUCUGGUUGUUGGUUCAUACCAUGUUUGCUACUGCUUUGUGCUUCCAGAUUUGGACGUGCCCAUGGCAUAUGGAAGCAUGUAUGUGCCAUUGUGGCAGCUCCCUUAUCCUCUCUGGUAUACGUACGCACAGUGAGGAACUGCCACAGCUGCUCCAAUUGCUGUUUCCAAGCAGGAGCAGGAAGGUUGCUCUUGAGGGAGACCUUGCUUUUACAACUCAUGCCUGUUUACUGAGGUGGGCAGUUGUAUUUCUGAGGACAGGUUUCUUGAGGCU